GCCAGCAUGGUGUAGUGGUUUGAAUGUUGGCAUACAACUCUGGAGACCAGGGUUCGAAUCCCUGCUCAGCCA